UGACCUGUCUGGACACAUGCUCCGACCAGGAAUUCUGCAUGGAAACACUCACUGGAUGGAAUCUAGAGCUAGAGGGCUUUGGGAGGUGGCUUCUGCAGUCAAUAUUUUUCAAUGUCUGCUGGACAAGAGGGACUGGACUUGGGGCUCCCUUGCUCUAGACAUGAAGGAAAUCCAGUUUGGGUGGGAGAGGAACAACAACUGCUGAGGACUCUGGGAGGAAGCUGGGAAGUCCAAGAUAAAGUCCAAGAUCAAGUUUCCAACAGAUUCAGUGUUUGCUCCAGCUCCUAAAAGCCACCCUUGUUUCUUCUGCCCAUUGCCUGGGACACAGUGACAUGUGGUUGCUGAAUUGAGAGAAAUCUGAUUGAUUUGAGUGUGGUCAGGGAGACUGCCCUCUGACUAGUCUAGCUACCAGGAUGCCAAAUUCUCUUGGGUGCAGCAAGGAGUGAUGGUUAUGUGGUUCAAGCAGGGCCAAUAUGGGUCUUGGCUGAAGUGUCUGGAAGGGGAAGGUCCCUUUCUAUUGCUAAGGCCUGAUCCUGGCAUCUUUUCUACCAAGGAAGAAGAGCCUUUCAGUGAGCAAUUUUCCUCCACCAUGAUACUUCUGUCUUGGAGCCAGCUAAAACAGACUGAACUCUCUGAAACUGUGAGGCAAAAUAAAGCUCUCCUCCUUCAAGCUGUGGGUGUUGCGUACUUUGUCCCAAUGGGAAAGUGACUACUACAGUCUUCAGGGAUCCAAGUCGCUCAUGGGUAACAAUUACAGUGACUGAGGAUGGCAGCACAUAUGUGGUUGUGGGGGAAGCAGUAGAAGCCUACAAAUGGAACCAGGCCAGGGGAGAGGCCCAUAAGGAUGAUGAUCCCAGAGCCGCGUCCUGAAUGGAAAUUAGCUAGGUAAAAAUGGGAAGAGGGUUACUUUUUAGGGGAACAUCGCUGCGGUGUGAGAAGGAGAGAGACACUUAGGAGAUCCUCUGGCACCUCUGGGCGUAGUGGAUGGAGGUAAUGAAAGUGGAAAUGAGACAAGAACCAAAUGAAGAAAGUCUUGUAAGCCAUGCUAAGGAUAUUGGACUUUGUGUGUGAGUAACAAGAGAAAACUCCUUGAUGUGCUGUGGAGAUGAAAGGGACAGGGGAGAUGGGAGAGAGGGAGCCUAUUGAGGCCAGAAGUGAUGCUGCUCAUUUGAAAGAGAGGCAGAGGAGAGAUGAUAAAAGGUGACUGUACCUGACUGAUCAGGACAAAGGGGAGGGAAAGGCAGGAGAUAAAACUUUUAGCUUUCUGGCUUAGACGAUGG
rnacentral:lncRNA from 1 species